AAAAAAUAUUAAGGUGGUUAUAGCGCAGGGGUUCCACCUCUUCCCAUUCCGAACAGAGAAGUUAAGCCCUGCCGCGCCGAUGGUACUGCAUAGAAGUGGGAGAGUAGGUCGCCGCCGAUU
rnacentral:rRNA from 1 species